rnacentral:misc_RNA from 1 species
GAUGAAGAACGCAGCGAAAUGCGAUAAGUAAUGUGAAUUGCAGAAUUCAGUGAAUCAUCGAAUCUUUGAACGCACAUUGCGCCCGUCAGUAUUCUGGCGGCCAUGCCUGUUCGAGCGUCAUUACGCCCCUCAAGUCCCCUGUGGACUUGGUGUUGGGGAUCGGCGAGGCUGGUUUUCCAGCACAGCCGUCCCUUAAAUUAAUUGGCGGUCUCGCCGUGGCCCUCCUCUGCGCAGUAGUAAAACACUCGCAACAGGAGCCCGGCGCGGUCCACUGCCGUAAAACCCCCCAACUUUUUAUAGUUGACCUCGAAUCAGGUAGGACUACCCGCUGAACUUAAGCAUAUCAAUAAGCGGAGGA